ACUGGGCAUGGUGGUGCAUACCUGUGAUCCCAGCAUCUUGGGAGGCUGAGGCAGGAGGAUCACGAGUUCAAAGCCAGCCUUUGCAGAAGCGAGGUGCUAGGCAACCCAGUGAGACCCUGCCUUUU
rnacentral:sRNA from 1 species